UUUUGCAAUUCAUGAUCGAAUUUUUUGUAAUCCAUGAUCGAAAUGUUUUUUUUUUUCUUGUAAUCCAUCAUCGAAUUUUAUUUUUUAUUUUUUAUUUUUGUAACCCAUGAUAGAAUUUUUUGUAAUCCAUGAUCGAAUGUUUUGUAAUCCAUGAUCGAAAUGUUUGUUUUUUUUUUUGUAAUCCAUGAUCGAAAUGUUUGUUUUUUUUUUGUAAUCCAUGAUCGAAUUUUUUGUUUUUUGUUUUUUAUGUAACCCAUGAUAGAGUUUUUUGUAAACCAUGAUUGAAUUUUUUGUAAUCC
rnacentral:lncRNA from 1 species